UUUUGUUAAGACAUUUGGUUUGUUUGAAAACUCAAGUGUUCCUAAAACUAGUAGUUAUAACCCAUAACUAAUAAAAAUCCCAAAUUUAAGAAAAAUCCAUAGAGGCCAUAUUUACAAUAAAAUUUCUGAAUGAAAUUUAAAAUCACCAUUUAAGUGCAAAACAAAGUCAAAUAAGGUUGUGUGGCCACCGCUGAGUCCUCCGUCACACUGAUCUGCCCAAACCUAGGGAUUACCUAUACAGAUAAAUCAGAAGGGUGAGUUUACGAAAACUCAGUAUGUAAUCCCUAUAUAAAGCAAGCAGACAAAAUGCAGUCACAGUCUGAGCUUAGGCCCUUUCAGUACCAGAUUUAGUUUUAGUUAGGGCCUUAGCCCAAUUUAGUACAAAAGCAGUCAUGCAUUAGGGCCUUGGCCCAUUAUAGUAUCAGUAAUCAGUAUACUAACAGGUAUACAGUCACAAAAUCCUACCCAGCCAACCUCUACACACCAUCUCCGUCCAACCCUACACUCCUUGUGGGGAUAUAAUCAACCCACCCAUCCCUACACUCCAAAAAGUACCAGAUGUGACACUAAACAGUGGUUUAUAGUUGAGCUGCCAGUAAAUUAGGCCCAAGGCCUUACAGUACACUUCCUCCGAACAAUACCAACCCCAACCCAAUGCAAUGCAAUAUACAGUGAUGACAUGCUAUAUCAUAACAUCAGAGCAUACAAUAUCAAUUCAUUAAAUAUCAUCAUGCUCGAUAACAUGUAAAUAUAUAUACUAUUCAUACAGUCAUUUUAGUCAAUUAGGAGUCUAGGUAAGCCUACCAACCCUACGGCAGGUUCACAGUAGUCUCAAUCGACCCGUGCAACCUUAGCCACAAAAUAGUGGAGAUGGGCUCACACGCCCAUGUUGUCGGCCUGUGUGGACCCACACGCCCGUGUGGUCCACACGACCCAAAAUGGCCUUGGCCGUGUGGAUCACACGACCUGACCCAAAAAUCUCACAUGCCCAUAUGGUUCACCUAUGUCAGCCCACCGCCUGUGUGGCCCACACGGCCCAAUUUGAUCCGGCUCGUGUAUCGCACAUGACCUGCCUCGUUGAUCACACGCCCGUGUUUUGUCACACGGCCUACCACACGGGCGACCACACUCCCGUGUGGCAUCGAUAACUUUAUGUUUUGGUUUUUCACCGAUUACCAUUUUUAGUGUUGUGGUUACACACCUAAUACGAUUUUGGUACACAACCGUUCCUGAGAUAACCAAGACCUAAAACGAUAAUCCCAAGUCUAAAAUCAGUAAUGAUUCAACAUUAAACCAAUACCAUUAAACCGACAACAAUCAAUCUCCAAAUUUGUUGCUUACCCUUAACGCUCUGAAAGAUCUUAACUACGAUCUCGCAGGGAAACCACGUUCCUUGCGAUUUGCUGCUGCCAAAACAAGAAAUUGAUACUAACGAAGAGUUAGGAACUUCACAAACUAAUAAAAGAAAAAAUUCUCUGACGCAAACAAGGCACAACCCUCUUAUCUAUCAACUUAUCAACCGAACGCAGCCAAUGUUGAUAAGAAAGAAGAAAAAUUGGAGAGAGAAGAGGGAAAAGAAAGGGGAGUUUCGGUAGAAAAUGAAGAAACAACUUGCCAGCAGAGAAAAGAACAAACUUUGGCAACAAGGGGGAUUUGGGAAAAGCAAAAACGGUAGCAAAACUUGAGAACCAGAAUGAAAAGCCUAAUUCGCAAAAAGAGAAGUAAGAGGAAGGAAACAAAGUCAGCAGAGGUUUUGGCAGAGAGAAAAACCGCCAGAAAAUCUGAAAGAGUGAGGGAGGAGAGCCGAACUUGUAACCACCCAAUUUCAGAUAUUUUCAAACUCAUUACCCUUAAUUUUUCUCCCCAUAUCCCUAAUUCCACUCCCCAAAACCGUCCACCACUUCCUCUCAACUAUCGAAUUCAAAUUUCACUUAAACACUUCAGUAUUUCGGCUAAACCAAAACACCCACACGGUGCAAGCAGCAAAAUAAAUCCCUUGUUUGCGCAAGGACUCAGACUCCAGACUUCCAGCUUAUUUACAAUCCACUGAACCACCAGACCAGCAAGUCCAUUCUGACAUAUUUUAUCAACAUUUAAUUAUAAGUCUACUGACUAGUGAUAGGGCUUCGUUUAGAAAAAUACAAAAAUUUUCCCAGGACAAGGCUUGAACUUAAAACCUCGCACACACACCCAAAGCACUUAACCACUGAAGCAGAUACACUGUUGUAUCAUAAAUACACGGAAACAAAUAUACAAACUUUGGGGCGUUACAUAUGGCAUCAUCAGUAACACUAUUGAUCUUAAAUUGUUGUAGAUCUCCAAAAAGUUAGCUAAAUAAACAUUCAGAUAUUCAUCUUGCAACCAAUCAAACUGAACAUACUGUUGCACCAUCUAAAUUGUGUUCGGCUUAAUCUCAAAAUUAUUUACAGCAAUAGUCAAUCUGACAAUACUCAAUUCAUCCCCAACUAGAGUGGGCUUAACAUAGUCAUACAUAGUCCAAGGAGUAGGACGUGCAAGAAGUUCGUAAUUAAUAGGGUUACUAUCCAUCAACAUAAUAAUAUCUUUUGCUCUUAGUCAUCUAUUAAAAGCAGUUAACCUUGCCUUGCUUCUCUACCUUAUUUACAAUUUCUACGAGCAAUUUUUUCGAUCUCACUAUAAAAAAUUAACUGUUCCAACGAGUUGCCUCUAGUCAUAAACUAAGGGAACUUAUAGGAAUCUAACAAAAAAAAUUAAAAUGUAACAAUUAAAUUAAAAAUAAAAAUAUUAAAAUAAAAAUAAAAAAUAGCUAAAUUAAUAGAAAUAAAAUUUUCCUAAUAUUCCAGCCCUCGACAACGACGCAAAAAUCUCGAUGCCUAUAUAACUAACUAAAAUUUUGGCAAAGGCAAGUGCACCUAUAAAUUAAUAGUAUAGCUACGGUAAGCAAAGAUAUUGUUCCCACGAAGAAUAAAAUUUCUAUUGAUUAUCGUCUUUCUAUUAUUUAACUGAAUAAUUCAAGUGAUUGACUAAAACUAAAAUUAACUAAAUUAAUUAACUAAUGAACACGAAAAAUAAUAAAACAAGAAAAUAAUCGAUUAACAACCAAGAAGUAAAACAAUACCCAGGAAAGAAUCAACCUAGGUUGAUUAUCAAUCUAAAUUAUGCAAUUUCUUUACUUUAGUAUCUUGAUUCGUAGAAACCCCUAAAUUAAGAAAAUAUCUCUUUUGAGCAUAAGAGCAACUGACUCUAGGUUGAUUAAUUAAAAUUUCUUUCUAAUUAAAACCCCUAUUAUCGCAUUAGCUCGUGCUAUGGAUUCCCCUAUUAGAUUUGACUCUAAUCUGAUAGAUUUAUGUCAUCCUAUUUCUAAGAUUGCAUGCACCUUCACUCAAUUACACAAGAUCUACUCUUAAACAAAGUCUAUUGAACCUUCGAUUUAAGAAAAUCAAAUAGGGAUUAAUAAUCUUGAAAUAUGAAACCAAAAAUUAAGCACAUAAUUGAGAACAAGAAACUAAGUAUUUAUUACGUAAAAUAAAAAUCAAAUGACAGAAUCCAUCAUAGGGUUAAUCUCCCCUAGGUAUUUUGAAAUUAGAUCAUGCUUGAAAAUAAAAACACCCAAUAUAUAGUAUAACCAAAAGGAAUAAAUAAACUCAUGAUAAUACCCUAAGAAAUCAAAUGAAAAUCUACAAUCUUGACAGAAAUCUACUUCAAAAUUUGCUUCAAUGGUGUUUUUCGAGUUUUUUUCCUGAGUAUUCUCUAACGACUUCCUCUUAUCUUCUUAUUUUUGUCAUAUAUACAUCUAAGAAUGCCCGAAAAACCUAAAAAUCACUAUUUUUUGCAGUUCGAUACGCAAUUCUGUGAAAUUGACAUGGCCUACCAUACGCCCAUGUGGGUCACAUGAGCGUGUACUCUGGUCGCGUGGAAUGCUUCAGCCCAUGUGGCUCUUGUAGCUUGCUUCGACAUUUCAGUUUUCACUUAUUUUUCUAUCCUUAGAAGACCAGGAGCAUAAAAUUCACAAUUAACAUCGGAUAAGGGUUGUAUUAAUAAACACUAAGUGACUAUCAAAUUUUGGCAAUUAAUAUCGUUUUUCGCUCCGAUUAAAACAUUAAUAGGCACUAAAUGACUUAGUGAUCUUAGGAUACCUUACUAGACUUAGAAACCUUAGUCCGUUCAGAAGAAGGUUACGUACACGAAAAGUAUCCUAGAUACACAACAUUUUUAUUUCCUAAUUUUAUUCUGACUUGACUUUGACUUGCGAACACCCAGUUUGCAACUCAACUGGCGAACCCCAACUCACCAAACAAACUUGUGAAUCCUUGCUCACCAAAUAGUUUGGCAAAUACACUUUCAAUGAAUCUAGUGAACCCCCUUACUACAUCUUUUAGUGUAUAUUGUUUCACCAAAUUUUGGGUGAACUCCUUGCUGAAACUCUUUUGUCGAACCCCAGUUUUUAGAAACAUUGGCGAACCCUUACGUGUGAGCACAAAACUUUUAGGCCUUAUGUUGGGAUGUUACAUUUUUAUUUUUCUUAUUUCCCUUCUCUGUUGUCGGUCUCAUCUAUAAUCUCACGUAAACACUUUUUUGUUCUUUUCCUUUUUGGUUGUCCCUUUAUACAACUUUGUUGUUGCCCAAACGCUAGACUUCUAUAUUGUUGUCGUUAACAUUUUAUUCUUGCCAAUUGGCCGUGUGUGAUUUAGGGAUUUCAUAUAGUUUCAUAACUUUUCAUAAGUACGUCCAUUUGUUUUAUUUAGAAGGGUGAUUUUGAACUUAUUUGAGAGUUUUAUUUGGUUGAUUUAGGAAAAAUCAUGAUAGACUAAUCAUUUUGGUUCUGCUUAGGAGAAGAUCUUAAGACGUAUAAACCUCUAGCGAAUUGAGAACUUUGGAAAUCGCUUCUUCUUUGGGUAAGUGGUCGAAUGCCCUAGUUAGAGAGGUUGGUUUGUGUAAAUUUGGUAAGGGUUAAAUGCCCUAGUGCUAUUUGGCCGAAUAUUCUAGUAAUUCAUGAUUCAAAUUCAUGAUUCAAUUUUUGUGUUUUCUUGCUGAUUGAUUAGGUUUGGAUGAUGUAUACAGAACUGGAAGUGUUGUUUUAGUGUCGACAUCUUGAUAAUAUUAAGUGUGUGACCCAAACCUAAAAAAUUAGUGAAACUUUGUGAAAUCGAAAAUGGUAGUCGAUGCCACAUGGGCAGUGCUUAGCCAUGUGGACCACACGGGCUGGACAAGUAGGGUCUGUCCGUGUGGGCUCAUUUCGAACAGUUUAUUUGGGUUAAAUGUGCAAGUUCGUGAAAAUCUGUAAUUGGUUAUGUGAUUACGACUAACGUAUGAUAAGACUACUCUAUUAUGCAGGUCGUUAUAUGCAAAUAUUCUGUGAGCAUGUUAGAUUUAAUAAAUUUGUAAACUUGUUUGUAUGUGUAAAUUUGUGAGCAUGUCUCUAUACGAGAUUCUGAAUUAGAUAAUCAACAUGCUUAUUCUCUGUACCAGUUAAGUUUUCUAAAAGAUAAACAAUACGGGUUUUCGUAUUAUUGGUUUUCGUUAGAAUCAAAAAGUGUUUAAAAAGGUUAAGCAAUCGAUUUUCUUAAGUUGUUGAUAUAACCUCCAAAAUUCAGUCAAAAUGUCUAAACAAGGUUUGGGGUCUUAUAUUUUUGCUAUCCUCGUACACUGAAUUGCUUUGAGUAUGAGCUCGAGCAAUACAAAGCAAACACAAAACUAGAAUGAUUUAAUCACUUUCAGUAGGAAAGUAAUUCUCUCAAAUAGAAAUCAAUAAAAAUUGUAAUUCACAGAAAAUAUAAAUUAUUCUUAAAAAAUAACUUUCCACUAUUUUUUGGUAGAAUAAUAAUAUAUGAAUCUUAUGUUAAAACUGUAUAAAUCGUUAUACUAGUUAGAAGAGUCCUAAUUGAAUAAGGGCAACACAAAAUAAUAUUUAUUUAAUAGAAAACACUCCCCUAGCCUAACUAGGAGACUAAUAUUUACUAGGGUGUGUCGUCUCUCUUAUAUUAAGUUCAAUUAUAUAUGUUUUAUAGACUUUUACCCUGCAUUUUAUAAUUUAAUUCAACCCAAUAUUAGUUUUCUAUUUCCCAAAAUAAAUAUUAUUUAUUUACUUAAUUUAAUUAAUAAAAUUAACUAAAUUAAUUUAUCAAUUUAAUAAUUUUCUCAACUCAAUUCUAAUUUCAUUAAAGUCAUGACAACUUUAUCUUAUUAAGAAGAGAUGGAAAUUCUACAGAUCCAGACUGAACCUAGCAUGCAAAAAGAAGGGGAGGACUUUCAACUUGUAGGUUGCUUCUUAACAGCAAGCAUAAUCCACUUUCCUGCCAUGAGAAGCACUAUGGCAAAUUUGUGGCACCCUGUAUGUGGGGUGCAAAUUCGAGAUCUGGGGGAUAAAUUUUUUCACAGUAUGGACAUGGAAAGAGUUUUGAAGGAUCUACCAUGGACUUUUAAUAAUCAUUAAUUAAUACUUUGCUAAAUAAGGAGGAGAGAAGAUCCAUUGAAGGUUCCAUUAAUUUUUAGUCCUUUUUGGGUACAAAUUCAUGACGUCCCAAUAGGUUUAUUUACUAAAAGUCUAGCAACACAGGUAAUUUUACUGGAGAUUUCUUGGAGUAUGAUGUGUCAGUUGGGAAAGGAGAAUCAAAAUUUUAUGAGAAUUAGAGUGCAGAUUGAUAUCAGGAAACUGUUGAAAAGGAAGAAGCAAAUUAUGUUUGGUGGGAUAUGUUCAUAUGUUAAAUUUAAGUAUGAGAGUCUAUCACUAUUUUGUUUUUUUUGUGGACGUUUGGGUCCUAAUGACUUUUUUAUGAAGAAAAAAUGAGGGUUCGAAGGGAGGUUACUGGAAUGGGAUGGGAUUUAACACUACGAACACCAUCUCGAAGAGCUCUAUCAAUGAAUAGCAUUUGGUUGCGAUAGGAGGGGGAAGGGAAACUAGAAGGAAGUUGGAUGUAGAACAGGAUUGACAGGUUUAACCAACAGAAUGAGGCUCUAAAGGGAAAGAAAGGGAAAUCUAUUGAUCCAAUUUUGGGGUUUAACCUUGAAGGGAGGGUGUCACCAGGAGAACAACAGAGAAAUAAAUCCUGGUCUUAUCAAAUGCAAAUGGAUAUGGAGCAGGCUCUUGAAGAUGAAACUUUAAUAGGGGAAGAGGGAAAAAAGAGAAAUAGAGGGGAGAUGGAAGGUGUGCAUUCCUUGAUAUCGACGACUGCCAAGAGGCAUUCCGACCGGGCACAAUAAAAAUCUUAAGUUGGAACGUCCGUGAUUUGGGGAGACAACAAACGGUUAAAAGACUUCAGCAUCUGUUGAAGAAUAAUAAUCCCCAAAUAGUCUUCUUUAUAGAGACAAAACUUAGUAAGAAACAAAUAAGAUUUACACGCAGGAGGUGUGGUUUUGUAAAUGAAAUCGAAGUCAAAUCAGAAGGCUCGAGAGGAGGGUUGUGCUUAGCAUGGAGAACUGACAUUGAAGUUGUGCUUCGUAGUUACUCUAAAAGACAUGUUGAUGUGAUUGUUGAAGAUGUGGAAAAAAGAGUGAAUUGGAGAUUUACAGGUUUUUAUGGUUCCCCAUACAUACAAGAUAGGAUUAAUUCGUGGGAGGUUUUGAAAAGUAUAGCAAAUGAUGAAGAAAUCCUUUGGUUGGUUUGUGGAGACUUCAAUGAAAUUAUGUAUGGAUUUGAAAAAAAAAGGAGGGGUACCUGGGGAUGAAAGAAGGAUGGAAAUUUUUCGUAAAACAUUAGAGGAAUGUCAAUUGAAUGAUGUGGGAUUUGAGGGCAGCCGUUUUACUUGAGAGAGAGGCAACUUGCUAGAGACGAACAUCCAAGAGCAUUUAGACAGUGUAGCUAAUACAAAUUGGAUUGUUAUGUUCCCAGAAAUUUAAGUUCAACAUCUAGUUCAUUCAUUUUUAGACCAUUGUCCUCUUCUUAUUAAUACCAGGAGAUUUGUAGAACAAGCAAGGGAUUACAAUUUCAGAUUUGAAGCGUGGGUUUUGGAGGAAUCUUUCAUGGAUGAAGUCAAAAAUAUAUGGGAAAAUUUGUCAAGAGGCAUUGUUAAAGAAGCUGGAUAAUUUAAAGAAAGGAUUGCAGAUUUGGGCUGCCCAGUUGAAAAAGAAUAGACAGAAGACUAAACAGAUUCUUACUGAGAAACUUGGCGAGUUGGCUGAAGUAGACAAAAAUGAUGAGACCUUAGCCGAAUUGAUUGAUACAAGAAUAGAUUUGAGUUUUGAGAUCGAGAAAGAUGAAUGUUACUGGGAACAAAGAGCUAGAAUCAACUGACUAAAAUUGGGGGACAAAAAUACUGCUUUCUUUCAUAGUUAAGCUUCACAAUGGCAAAAAAAGAAUCUCAUUCAUAAGCUGAAAGAUGAAGGAAGAGAAAUGGAGUUCAUUCAGGAUAUUGAGGGUGUGGCAAAGUCCUAUUUUCAGAAUUUAUUUUCGGCAAGAAGAAAAGGGAAUUAUGAUCAUAUUCUAUCAGGGAUUGAGCGUUGCAUUCAAGCAGAAGACAAUCAAAAACUUACAAAAUCAUAUUCUAGAGAUGAAAUUAUUGAAGCUGUUUUUGAGAUGGGACCAACGAAGGCACCAGGGGAGGAUGGCUUUCCAACAUUAUUUUAUCAAAAAUGCUGGCAAAUUGUUGGAGAUGAAGUCAUAGCUUUUUGCUUACAAAUUCUAAACGGGGAUAUGGAGGUUAGUCCGGUAAACUCUACAAAUAUAGUGCUUAUUCCAAAAGUAUUGAUGCUUGCUCGGGACAACGCGUAAAUUUCGAUAAAACAACUGUAUUUUUUAGUAAAAACACGUUGGAGGAGGAUAGGAGACAAGUGGUCAAUGUGUUGGGGGUACAAAGAUCAAGUGAACUUGAACAAUAUUUAGGGCUUCCCAAUAUGGUGGGGAAAAAGAGAAAAGAAGCUUUUCAGAGUUUAAAGGACCGAAUCAAAAAACGUAUUGAUAAUUAGAGUAACAGGUUUUUAUCACGAGGGAAAGAAGUGUUUAUUAAGGCCAUUUUGCAAGCUAUGGCAUGCUUCUUAUUGCCGAGAGCUCUUUGCGAUGAAAUGGAGAGUAUUAUAGCAAGAUUUUGGUGGCAAAAAGGAGGGGGCAAAAGGGGAAUUCAUUGGUGCACUUGGAAAAAUCUUUGUUUGCUAAAAGAAAAUGGUGGCUUAGGUUUUCGAGAUCUUAGUCAAUUUAAUAUUGCGUUAUUAGCUAAGCAAGGUUGGCGUCUCAUUAAUUUUCCAAAUUCUUUGUUAGCCAGAGUUUUGAAAGCUAAAUAUUUCCCACAUUCAAGUUUCUUAAAUGCAGAGUUUUGGAAUUUACCUUCAUUUACCUGGAAGAGCAUCUGGGCAGCAAGAGGACUCCUCCAAAGAGGGUUGGGUUGGAGAGUUGGUAAAGGUAAUAGCAUUUCUAUUUGGGAAGACAAUUCAGGGGAUCGAUAAGGUGGAUGAACAAAAUAGAACAAACAGAAGGGAACUACAAUUAGUUUCAGACCUCAUUGAUAAUUCAAGCAGAAAAUGGAAGUCAGACUUAAUUAAUAGUACCUUUCAAGAAGAUAUUGCUCGGAAGAUUCUACAAAUUCCCCUGGCAGAGACCGAACAUGAGGAUAUUCAGGUGUGGAGUGGAGAACUAUCUGGUGAGUUUUCAGUACGUAGUGCCUAUAAACUAUUACAAGAUGCUUCUGCAGCCAAUGACUACUUAUUACAGACCGAAAUAAAAAAAAUUUACAAAAAAUUAUGGGGCCAACAAUUGUCAUCAAAAAUUGCAAUUACAAUUUGGAGGAUUUCAUGGGAUUAUAUCCCUCAUUUUGGAAAUCUCAGAUUAAGGAGGGUCAUUUCAACUGCCUGUUGUCCACAAUGUAACUCUAGAGUUGAAGAGAGUCUUCAUGUUUUCCGAGAGUGUCCUUUCAUAAGAGAAGUGUGGCAAUCAUUAAAUUUAUCAUGGGUUAUGGAGAAUACGAGUCAGAAUAUAUGGGAGUGGCUAACCUGGGUAUUCAAGAACAGCAACUAUAACCGGUGUCGGCUUUUUUGUUAUGCAUUAUGGUUGAUAUGGUCCUUUAGAAACAAACUCAUUCACGAGGGGAAAAAUUCAACAGGAAGGGGGUUAGCUCAGAAUAUUCAGCGACACAUGGCAGAAUAUGAAGGAAUUAAUGUUGUGAAGAAAACUGAGAGAAUUUCCAGGAGUCACAGAAUACAGAAGAACGUACCAAGAUUAUCGAUCAAAUUUGAUGCAGCACUGGACAGUAGAACUUUCAAAUCAGCGACUGGAUUAGUAGGUUGGGAUAUGAGGGGAAAUCUACUGGUGUUAAAAAUGGUUAUCCACAGAAAUGUUCCCUCACCAUUCGCAGUAGAGGCAUAUGCAUGUUUAGAAGACAUGAAAUUAGGGAUUGCAUUAGGAUCUCAGUCAGUUAGAAUCAUGGGAGACUCAAAAACAGUCAUAAAGAAGAGCAAGGUGACUUCAACAGACAAAUCGGUGAUCAGUGCCAUUAUAAAAGAUAUUCAGAACAAGAAAUCUUAGUUUCAAGAUCUUACUUUUCAACACAUUGAUAGAUCAGAGAACACACAUGCACAUGGUCUAGCAAAGAAAGCUCUUGUGAAAGAAGAAAACAUUUACCUGAUAAGAGAAGAACUGGAACGUCAUAUUUCAACUUUGGAUGAAGAUUGGCAAAGAAAUCCGGAUUGAAGAAAUGGGUGAAGGAGCAGUAUCCAAUACAGAUAGCUUAAUGAUGUUUAAAUCUGUGAGGAAGAGCUAUCGACAGAGCAGAUGGGACCUUGGAAAUGACUCUUCAAUAGCCUUGAUGGUAUCUAGCUGUUCUGAAUUUGACUGGGAUAGGUUUUCAUUCGGUUUAUUUUAUUUUCAUUUAAUGCUUUUGUUUUCUUUUAAUUAUCUAGCUUUGAUUGACGUUUUCUAGGGGGUUUUUCUUUCCUGGCUGUUUAGGAAAAAAAUUAUGUUGUUUCUUUCUCUGUUUGUUGCUUUGACUUUGGGCCCUUUGAUUUAGGCUGAUUGGAUUGUUCUUUUUAAUUCAUUAUAAAUACCCAG
rnacentral:lncRNA from 1 species